rnacentral:rRNA from 1 species
UUUAGUUGAUCAUGGCUCAGAAUCNAACGCUGGUNUNGCGACGCUUAACACAUGCAAGUCGCACGAGAAAGUGGGAAACCAUGAGUACAGUGGCGUACGGGUGAGUAACACGUGGGUGAUCUACCUCUUAGUGGGGAAUAACCUGGGAAACCCGGGCUAAUACCGCAUAAGCUCGAGAGAGGAAAGCAGCAAUGCGCUGAGAGAGGAGCCCGCGGCCGAUUAGCUAGUUGGUAGGGUAAGAGCCUACCAAGGCAGAGAUCGGUAGCCGGCCUGAGAGGGCACACGGCCACACUGGCACUGAAACACGGGCCAGACUCCUACGGGAGGCAGCAGUGGGGAAUCUUGCACAAUGGGGGAAACCCUGAUGCAGCGACGCCGCGUGAGCGGUGAAGCCCUUCGGGGUGUAAAGCUCUUUCGUCAGGGAAGAUGAUGACGGUACCUGGAGAAGCAGCUGCGGCUAACUACGUGCCAGCAGCCGCGGUAAUACGUAGUGCAGCGAGCGUUGUUCGGAGUUACUGGGCGUAAAGGGUGUGUAGGCGGUUCUUUAAGUUUGGUGUGAAAUCUCCCGGCUCAACCGGGAGGGUGCGCCGAAUACUGAGGGGACUCAGUGCGGAGAAGAAAAUGGAAUUCCUGGUUUUACCGGGGAAAAUNGUAAAUUNCGGAGGAACCCGGUUGGUUUAACGGGUU